GACGUAGGGCAUUCCCUUGCCCGAACCAAUCUAAACCCCGUGUCUCCCACGCCACCAUCCGAAGCCUUACGCGCAUAAAAGAAAUUUACUAGUCUAAGUCUUGACCCGUUAAUCUUGACAAUGACAACUGGACACCUAAUUCUACUCGGCGCGCCUCUGUGGCCCCGCCAGUCCUCGCCCUCGGGGGCUGGACGCCUAAUUCUACUCGGCGUGCCUCCAUGGCCCUGCCAGUCCUUGUCCUCGGGGUUGGGCACCUACUUCUACUUAGCUUGCCUCCGUGGCAUAGCCAGCCCACAACCAGAGGGACUAGUUGCCCAGCUUCAAAGAAAUCAUGCCUCUAUGGCCUUAGAAAUAAUCAAAAACAGAUGCAAAGGCAUAUUUUUACUUAGCUAAAAUCAAAUUCCCGGCAUUACAUAUUACAAAAGAUUGUGAACAGCUCUGGAUAGCCAACAUCCCAGGAUAAGAAGCUCAAUACAAGAAAGCUGCGCGACACACUUCCCUAGCGGUGUCGUGGACAAAGUUGGCAGGGUUCACAAUACAGCCUCCUCACAAGGAUUCUUCUAGUAUCGUUACCCCCGAC
rnacentral:lncRNA from 1 species